UAAUCCCUGGCACAAAAUUGGCUGGUAUGCAGUGCCCAGUCUCUGCUAGGAGAUUUUGUCCAUCCUCAAUUCAAAAGCCAAUCCCCACCCUCCUGUCCUUACUUUCCAUCCCUCCAAAGCAGCAACAGCGGAAACCCACAGCUGGAAACAUCUGGAAAAGAUGGCUCAGACUACAACUCCCAUUCUGCCAAGAACAUGGAAAUGGUAAUCCGAUCCCUGGAACCCACCAGGUUGAGGAAGGCAGGCUGUCUGAAUAAAACCUGUUGCUGGACUCACA